rnacentral:lncRNA from 1 species
UUAUAUAAAAAAGAAGAUGUGGUAUGAUUGCCAAUGAGACAACUAUCCACAAAAGACCAAAAUAACACAGACAUUAACAACUAUAGGUCACCGUACGGCCUUCAACAAUGAGCAAAGCUCAUACCGCAUAGUGAGCUAUAAAAGGCCCCGAUAAGACAAUGUAAAACAAUUUAAACAAGAAAAUUAACGGCCUAAAUUUAUGUAAAAAAAUGAACGAAAAACAAAUAUGUAACACAUAAACAAACGACG